UGUCUAUCAUCACUGUUCAUGGUAACCAGGAGAUCAUCAGAGGCGGUACUGCAGACAUUGAGAGGGUACCACCCCUGUAGUGUGAUCACGAAUGAGUUUAGUGGAACAAUAAACCUCCAGAUGUCUAUGUACAUGUGUAUAUUAUAAUUAAACUUCUGGUGCAUUCGCGCAUGCGAGAUUACUCUA